AUAUGUACAGCGUUUACAUAUGCACAGUGUUUACAUAUGUACAGCUCUUACAUAUGUACAGCGUUUACAUAUGCACAGCGUUUACAUAUGAUGUAUGCACAGCGUUUACAGCUGAAGUUGCUCAGAAUGGAGGAGCUUUUCGUUGGCGCGAUCAAGUAUUGAUAUCUCCUUGUGACGUGGAAUAUUUGCACAUAUGUGGACUUGUUAAAUAUCUUCAAAAUCACAUUACUGGGAAUGACAGGCAAUUCCUCCCUGCAAUACGCAGUACAGCAGAAUCAUGUAGAUCAAAAUAACCCCACAAUGAUAUCACAAAUGCUGGUGCAAAGCUUGGAUUUUCCAGUGGUCAGUGCGCCGAUUUCGACUACUCAGUGUGGGGACAUAUGGCCGGGUAGGGCUGAUUUUGAGCCGCAAGCUGUAUAGAUUACACCAUGGUACCAAGCCUGUUUUGGAGUGGGCUAGCCAUAUAGUCUAAGAAAGUAGAGUUCGAAUACUUUCCUGAUUGGCCCCGCAUCCCGGGGGAUGUGGAAGACCCUGUCGUGCACGUGAUCUAUGACUCACCUCCAGGCAACCACGUUCAAGUCAUCGAAUGGUCCACCAAUGUUUCAACGUGGAACAUGGCGUUUCACGGACCCAGUUGAAUAAACCAUCGCCAAACCCGUCGAUUGCUCGGAAAAUGAGGAUUUUUGUCGGUCUCUCCACCUCUUGUGGACCAAACAGGAAAAAUUAAUUGAUUGAUGCGUGUGCUGUCUUGGUCUAUAUGCCGUGCUAUCCGUAGUACCCACAUAUCGGUUAUGAUUGGUUUUGAUACCAUGGGUUAUAAUAUAUAAUGGGUGAUCCGUAACCAGGUCAGAUUUACCUUUUAUGCCACGACUUCCAUUCAGUACCAAGAUUGUACACCCUAAUGGCUGGCAACAGCCAACGGAUCACAAAGCUCUCUUGCAACGAGCAGAAUAUUUUCCGGAGGCGGACAGAAGACCAGGAAGCACGAGAAGGCAGAAAUACAAACCAAAGCAGCAGGUUUUCGAGAGUCUGUCCACGCUCUAUGAGGUGUUCUCCCAACAAAUAGAGGCUGGCACACCAACUAAAUCGGUCAAGGAGCAUAACCCGCGUCCAACCGACUAGCACUACCCAACGCGAGUCCAUGGCAGCAGAUCGAUCACCAUACGUGGAUCGUCUCGGAGGAAAGCGAUACGAAAUCACCACGGAUUGGCUCAAAGUGGGGAGGGCCAGUCGAUUUUCCGGGAGGGGAAGGAGACUGUGUGAUGAACGUCAUCACGAAGCCAGACAUUAUUUUUGGAACCUUUUGUCUGGAUCUCCAACGUGAGGACACGUGAGGGCACGUGAGGGCACUGCUGGCUAUAAAUACCUGGCUUCUCCCCCGUCGCAUCAUCUCAGUUCCUCUUCUACAUUUUCCUCAAGACCAAUCUUGUACGCAUCAAUUGGCAAAAUAGCGAAGCUCGCCGCAUCCGCCGACAACAGCUAUCUUUAUUUAUCUCUUCUGAUCAAUGAAAU
rnacentral:lncRNA from 1 species